AGUGUUCAAAGGCAGACCACCCACCACCCUGGUUUGUGUUUGCUCAUGUCAAAGGCAGCUCAUGCUAUGGGAAAAGCAGAGUGAGACCUACCUAGAGUGCUUCUGACAUCCCCCUUCAAAAAUACUGACAAAGAGCAACCACAGCAUCUGAAGAGAACUUUUCCAACCACAGGAGCAGAGACGUACUGGAAAGAGAAGAGCCUUAAUAUGUGUAAAUGAAGAAAUUACUUGAGGAGUACCCCUUCUUUUCUUCUCCUCUUUCACCUGAGAAGAUGACACUGGAUGUUCCCAGAAGCUUGCAAAGUUCAUGGGUUUGUGGAAACCUCUGCAUUACUGCAUGAAUAGAAGGAAACACAGAUGAUGGGAGAACAGAAAGUUGCUGGUCUGCAAGGAGCAACGUUUAGAGGAUGUGUCGUGGGCCAGAACCCAAGUGCAGGGCAAUAGUUUGCUGGGGCUUUGCACUUGGGAAUGGUUCCAAUAUCCUCUAUCUGCACUGCAGGUCCAGGCAGAAAGCUACACCUUCAAGUAUGCAGACAAGAUUUCACCAACAAUUGCUUGGAAAAUGAUAGCCUUCUGUAGCACCUCUCAAGGAAGAGAACAGAAAACUGAGAUCAGCCUCACUGAUGAUGAGUCAGAGAUGUGUCAGAGACUGGAAGUGUGAUAGCUGCUCUCCUGCAGCCACAGGCACCCAACCAGUGUUAUUUAUGUACCAUCGACAAGGAGACAUGCUCAGACUUGAAGGGCUAGUGCUGACCUUCCCUUGCCAAUCAUUUAUACACUCCUUGUUUUGAGUGCUCCACCUUAAGGUUUCUCAUGACUCACUUUCUCUCUGAAC